GGAGAUUUAGCUCAGCGGCAUAAGUGCCUGCCUUGUAAGCAGGCAAUCGCCAGUUCGAUUCCUGGUACCA
rnacentral:tRNA from 1 species